GGGUGAUGUAUUCCUUAGUAUUUGGGCCUAGAUGAAUUAAGAUUGGUCUCAAAAUCAGAUGUGUAUAUGAUGCUCCAAAGUGGUGCUUGAUGUCAUCAUGCAUUGCAUGGGCACUUUUAUCACCAUUUUGUAGCCAGUGAUGCUUGGAAUUUAGUACUAAUGUUGUGUUAAUAGAUUCAUGAAUCCACUAAAUCCAAUAAAAAACC
rnacentral:lncRNA from 1 species